ensembl:lncRNA
GGGGGGAAAAUGAGGGAAAACGGGAAAAUUGGAAAAAAUAAGGAGAAUUGGGGGAAAAUGAGGAUUUUUGGGGGGGAUAAAAUGGAAUUUUGGGGGAAAAAAUGGGAAAAUUGGGAAAGAAAAGGAGAAUUUUGGGGAAAAAAUGGGUAAAUUGGGAAAGAAAUGAGGAUUUUUGGGAAUUUUGGGGGAAUUGGGGAAAAAAAAUUCGGAUUUUUGGGAAUUUUGGGGGGAAAAUGGGAGAAGUGGGGAAAAGAAUGAGGAUUUUGGGGGGAAAAACGGGAAAAUUGGGAAAGAAAAGGAGAAUUUUGGGGGAAAAUGGGAAAAUUGGGAAAGAAAAGGAGGAUUUUGGGGGGAAAAACGUGAAAAUUGGGAAAGAAAUGAGGAUUUUUGGGAAUUUUGGGGGGAAAACGGGAAAAUUGGGGAAAAAAUGGGUAUUUUUGGGAAUAAAAACGAAUUUUCGUGAGGGGGAAGGGGAGGGAGGGAAGCGCAUUUUUGAGGAAAAAAUACCGAUAUUUUUAAAAAUAAAAAUUCAGGAUAAAAAGGAGAGGUUUGGGAAGGGGAAUCGCUUCUUGAAGGAAAAAAAAAAAGGGAAUUUGGGAUGGAACAAAAUUUGGGAAAACCGACCUGGAAUUGGCGGGCGGAGAUUUGCCCUCAACAAAGAUGGCGGCGGCCGCGCCCUGCGCCCUCACCCAAAAUGGUGCUGCCCACAACAAAGAUGGCGCCCGUGCUUUGCUCGAUACCCGCUUUGCCCUCACCCAAGAUGGCGCCUCCGCCUUCAACCUUUUCCCGCGCCGCUUCGCGCUGAUUGGUCGGAUUUUUUCCCGCCCUUCAAUCGGAUUGGCUCCUCACCCGGAAGUAGGCGUGGUAUCUCCGCAUGGUCGUGAUGGCGGGCGGCGUGUCCGGGGUGAGUGAGGGGACGGGGCGAGAAUUCAUCCAAUUUGGGGGAUUUCGGGAAUCUCGAGAGGAUUUUUGGGGUGGUCCCAGUCUCAUUCCCUCUUUUCCCGCAGAGAACGGACCCGUUCCCCGGGCCGGCGCCGGUGCCGCGGCCCAGAGUGAAGAGGUUCCUGCGGGGCGCGGACGAGAAAGCGCCCCGCGCCGUCGCCCCCCGGCUCCGCUGGCACCUGAAAAAUUUGGAAAAUCGGGAAAAUUCAGCAGCAGAAAAAGCAGCAAGAUGGGAACCCCUCCUGCCCGAGGAGCCAGGGUUUUUGGAGGCGGAUCCGGGCGAGGAUCCCGCGAGGAUCUCGCAGCGGGAAAUCGCCGACGCCGUGGAUAUCGCCAGCGCCAGCAAGGUGGGGAUUGGGGGGAAAAAUGGGGAUUUUGGGGAAAAAUGGGAAUUUGGGGAAAAAAAUGGGAAUUUUGGGGGGAAAAUUGGGGAUUUUGGGGGGGAAAAAUGGGGAUUUUGGGGAAAAAAAAGGAUGUUUUAGGAGAAAAAAUGGAGGUUUUAGGUGGAAAAAUGGGAAUUUUGGGGGGAAAAAUGGGAAUUUGGGGGGGAAAAAUGGGAAUUUUGGGGAAAAAAAUGGGAAUUUGGGGGGGAAAAUGGGAAUUUGGGGGGGAAAUGGGAAUUUUGGGGAAAAAAUGGGGAUUUUGGGGGGAAAAAUGGGAAUUUUGGGGAAAAUUUGGGAUUUUGGGGGGGAAAAAUGGGGAUUUUGGGGAAAAAAAAGGAUGUUUUAGGAGAAAAAAUGGAGGUUUUAGGUGGAAAAAUGGGAAUUUCCGGGGGAAAAAUGGGAAUUUUGGGGGGAAAAAAUGGGGAUUUGAGGGGAAAAAUGGGGAUUUUGGGGAAAAAAUAUGGGAUUUGGGGGGAAAAAAU